UACGUAGGGUCCGAGCGUUGUCCGGAAUUACUGGGCGUAAAGAGCUCGUAGGCGGUUUGUCGCGUCGGGGAGUGAAAACCCAGGGCUUAACCCUGGGCUGGCUUCCGAUACGGGCAGACUAGAGGUAUGCAGGGGAGAACGGAAUUCCUGGUGUAGCGGUGAAAUGCGCAGAUAUCAGGAGGAACACCGGUGGCGAAGGCGGUUCUCUGGGCAUUACCUGACGCUGAGGAGCGAAAGUGUGGGGAGCGAACAGG
rnacentral:rRNA from 1 species